CAUCCGCCUGCGCCCGCUGUGUCCUGGUAUUGGGCCUUCGCCCUGUGAUGCUCCGGGCACCUUCAGGAAGAACUUGCAAUAUGGACGCGACCUGACUCACUAGUCAGCUGAUGACAGGGAGCCUGUCUACUUCAAUGGGUGGAGGAAUAAAUCUGCAACUAAUGCAACAGCUGGAGGCACCCUGAUUGAAAACCACAGAUCCGUCUAUCCUGUGGGCUACUUCAGAUUUGGUGGACUACGAUAACCAGCAUUUUUUUUGUUUAAUAUUAACAUUUUGUAACGAGGACUUGUGGGGGACUGUUUUUUGGAAUAAAAGUUUUGGAAAAUGGAAAAUUUUGCAUUUUUCUAACUUUGAAGCUCUCUGCUUGUAA